rnacentral:lncRNA from 1 species
UUUGCGUUUUUAAAUUCUCAUACUUUUUUUUUUUUGCACUUUCUCCUUUGGUUUUCAUUUUUAUUUUGAAUUAACUUUUCUCUUUUUUAAUUUUUUGCCUUUGACUUUUUAUAUUGUUUUCUCAUUAUGUCUUAUAUGUUUUUCAAUUUUUUGUAUUUUUUGAACUUUUUUUUUUAUUUUGUCAUUCCAUUUCAUUUUUGAAGUUUUUAUUCAAUUUUUGUCUUUUUUAUUUUCUUACUUUUUAUAUUUUUAUUGUAUUUUUGUUCAUCUUUUAUUUUGGUUUAUUUUUUUAUUUUAUCAUUGUUGGUUAUUUUCUAUUGCAUUUUUAUAAUUUUUCUUUAACUUUUUCUCCUUUCAAAUUUUUCUUCUUUUUUUUACUUAUUUUUUCACGUGCUUUCAUAUUUUUUUUGUUUUCACUUUUUUCUUUGUUUUAAAAUAUUCUAUAAACUUUUUUCUUUUUGUUUUAUUUCAUAAUUUUGACUCUUCAUUUUUUAUUUUUUUCUUGUUUUAACUUUUUUUUUUUGCACUUCCUUGUCUUGUUUUUAUUUUUAUUUUGUAUUAACUUUUUCCCUUUGUUAAUUUUUUUGUCUUUGAUUUUUUUUAAUUUUUUCUUAUUACUUUUUGCUUAUGUUUUCUAAAUUAAUUUUUUCUAUUUUGUAAUCCCUUUUCAUUUUUUAUCUCCUUUUAAUUUUUUAUCUUUCAUUUUUUAUACCUUUAUUUCUUAUUGUUCGUUAUAUUUUUUUUAUUUUUUGUUCGUAUUUUAUAAACUAAUUUUUUUUUACAAUUUUAAAACCUCUAACUUCUUUUUUUGUGCACUUCCUUUUGUUUUUAUUUCUUUUUUUGUUAACUUUUAUUUUAUUUUUUAUCUUUGAUUUUUUAUAUCUUUUUCUUGUAUUUGUUUUUUUUUUCUUUAAACUAAAAGUUUUUUCUGUUU